AACGAACGCUGGCGGCAGGCCUAACACAUGCAAGUCGAGCGAGGACUUCGGUCCUAGCGGCGGACGGGUGAGUAACGCGUGGGAACGUGCCCUUUGCUUCGGAAUAGCCCUGGGAAACUGGGAGUAAUACCGGAUGAGCCCUUUGGGGGAAAGAUUUAUCGGCGAAGGAUCGGCCCGCGUUGGAUUAGGUAGUUGGUGGGGUAAUGGCCUACCAAGCCGACGAUUCAUAGCUGGUUUGAGAGGAUGAUCAGCCACACUGGGAUUGAGACACGGCCCAGACUCCUACGGGAGGCAGCAGUGGGGAAUCUUAGACAAUGGGGGAAACCCUGAUCUAGCCAUGCCGCGUGAGCGAUGAAGGCCUUAGGGUUGUAAAGCUCUUUCAGCUGGGAAGAUAAUGACGGUACCAGCAGAAGAAGCCCCGGCUAACUCCGU
rnacentral:rRNA from 1 species